UAAUAUCACGUUGAAAACCCAGUCCCCAUACAAUCAUCGAAGUUAAGCAAGGUUGAGACUGAUCAGUAACUCGAUGGGUGAUCGCUUGAGAAUACCAAGUGCUGUAA